CCUACGGGAGGCAGCAGUGAGGAAUAUUGGUCAAUGGGCGGAAGCCUGAACCAGCCAAGUAGCGUGCAGGAUGACGGCCCUACGGGUUGUAAACUGCUUUUAUACGGGACUAACGCGCCUUACGUGUAGGCCUUUGCGUGUACCGUAUGAAUAAGGACCGGCUACUUCCUUGCCAGCAGCCGCGGUACUACGGAAGGUCCGGGCGUUAUCCGGAUUUUUUGGGUUUAAAGGGAGCGUAGGCCGCAUGUCAAGCGUGCUGUGAAAUGUCCGGGCUCAACCCGGGCCGUGAAGCGCGAACUGGCGUGCCUGAGUCCGCGGAAAGCAGGCGGAAUUCGUCGUGUAGCGGUGAAAUGCUUAGA
rnacentral:rRNA from 1 species